AUUGAACGCUGGCGGCAUGCUUUACACAUGCAAGUCGAACGGUAACACGCUUUGGGGUGCUUCCUACUGGUGACGGGGGGCGUAAUGCUUCGGAAUGUACCCGGAGCUGGGGGUUCGCGGAGGGAAACGUAUGCAAACACCGCAUAUGACCUCAGGCUGACAGCGGGGGAAAGCGGAGCAACUUUUGACCUCGCGCGUUUGGAUGGGCCGAUGUCGGAUUAGCUAGUUGGCGGGGUAAAGGCCCACCAAGGCGACGAUCCGUAGCUGGUCUGAGAGGAUGAUCAGCCACACUGGAACUGAGACACGGCCCAGACUCCUACGGGAGGCAGCAGUGGGGAAUAUUGGACAAUGGGCGCAAGCCUGAUCCAGCCAUGCCGCGUGGGUGAAGAAGGCCUUCGGGUUGUAAAGCGCUUUUGUUAGGAACGAAACGCUGUCGGCUAAUACCGGGCGGUUAUGACGGUACCUGCAGAAUAAGCACCGGCUAACUACGUG
rnacentral:rRNA from 1 species